GUUUGAUCCUGGCUCAGAACGACCGCUGGCGUGCGUGCUUAACACAUGCAAGUCGAACGCGAAAGAGUUCUUCGGAACUUGAGAUAGAGUGGCGCACGGGUGAGUAACGCGUAAGUAACCUACCCUCGACAUUUGGGAUAACCCACCGAAAGGUAGUGCUAAUACCGGAUACGUACUCAUUUAAUAUCUAUUUAAUGAGAGAAAGGUGGCCUACUGAUGGAAGCUACUUGUGCGGGGAGAGGGCUUGCAGUACCAUUAGCUAAGUUGGUAGUGGUAAGGGCCUACCAA
rnacentral:rRNA from 1 species